UUGAAUUGUUGACUAAUCGGCAAGUCCCCUAGAUUUGAGCUAGGUCAUACACGUUCGAAUCGUGUCAGUUCAAU
rnacentral:tRNA from 1 species